AGCCCCGGAACCAGGCGCCCGCCGGAGGAACCAACCAAACUCUUUCUGUAGUCCCCUCGCGGACGUAUUUCUUACAGCUCUGAGCAAAAAUUCAAAAUGAAUCAAAACUUUCAACAACGGAUCUCUUGGUUCUGGCAUCGAUGAAGAACGCAGCGAAAUGCGAUAAGUAAUGUGAAUUGCAGAAUUCAGUGAAUCAUCGAAUCUUUGAACGCACAUUGCGCCCGCCAGUAUUCUGGCGGGCAUGCCUGUCCGAGCGUCAUUUCAACCCUCGAACCCCUCCGGGGGAUCGGCGUUGGGGAUCGGGACCCCUCACACGGGUGCCGGCCCCGAAAUACAGUGGCGGUCUCGCCGCAGCCUCUCCUGCGCAGUAGUUUGCACAACUCGCACCGGGAGCGCGGCGCGUCCACGUCCGUAAAA
rnacentral:rRNA from 1 species